rnacentral:rRNA from 1 species
UGAGGAAUAUUGGACAAUGGGUGAGAGCCUGAUCCAGCCAUCCCGCGUGAAGGACGACGGCCCUAUGGGUUGUAAACUUCUUUUGUAUAGGGAUAAACCUUUCCUCGUGAGGAAAGCUGAAGGUACUAUACGAAUAAGCACCGGCUAACUNCGUGCCAGCAGCCGCGG